AAAAAUCUUGGACUUUGACCUCUCUCUUUUGAGCCCAAAAAGUCACAAAAAUCAGGUUAUAAAUUCUAGACUUCCAUCUCCCAAAAAACCCUGGGAGAAAGAUAGUGAGAGAAGAGCUAACAGAGUUCAGAGCAACCUCCAGAGACUGAAAGGAACUCAUCUGCAAAGAGCCAAUUCCAUCUCAUAUAAACCCUCAGAUUGCUUUGCAAACCCAACCGGGCAAUUCAAUUUCAUUCGAUCUCUCCAAUCAGGUUUGCCCUAUUUCCA
rnacentral:lncRNA from 1 species